rnacentral:rRNA from 1 species
AUUGAACGCUGGCGGCAUGCUUUACACAUGCAAGUCGAACGGCAGCGCGGGCUUCGGCCUGGCGGCGAGUGGCGGACGGGUGAGUAAUGCAUCGGAACGUGCCCAGUAGUGGGGGAUAGCCCGGCGAAAGCCGGAUUAAUACCGCAUACGACCUGAGGGUGAAAGCGGGGGACCGAAAGGCCUCGCGCUAUUGGAGCGGCCGAUGUCGGAUUAGCUAGUUGGUGGGGUAAAGGCUUACCAAGGCGACGAUCCGUAGCUGGUCUGAGAGGACGACCAGCCACACUGGGACUGAGACACGGCCCAGACUCCUACGGGAGGCAGCAGUGGGGAAUUUUGGACAAUGGGGGCAACCCUGAUCCAGCCAUGCCGCGUGCGGGAAGAAGGCCUUCGGGUUGUAAACCGCUUUUGUUCGGGAAGAAAGCCUCUGGGCUAAUACCCCGGGGGGAUGACGGUACCGGAAGAAUAAGCACCGGCUAACUACGUG